CCGGAUUUUCCGAAAAAAU
rnacentral:misc_RNA from 1 species